rfam:Canis lupus familiaris chromosome 12, whole genome shotgun sequence.
GGAUCCUGGGCUGUGUCCCGGCGCCCAGUGCUCCGGGGCCUGCGCUGUUGGAUUCGUGCUCCCGCCC